UAGAAAAUAGGUAAAUGGGAUACUAUGAAAAUUUGAAUUUUAUGUUAAGAGUUCAAGUCUCUUUUUUUUAG
rnacentral:tRNA from 1 species